AUGGCGGAGGAAGGGAAAAGGAAAAAGAUUCCUUUGGUUCCAGAAAAUCUCCUGAAAAAGAGGAAGGCUUAUCUAGCCCUCAACGCCACUUAGGCAAAGCAGGCACUUUGGCAAAGAGAGAGAGAAAAGGGAAACAAUUCAGGUUUAGACGACUAGAAUCUUUUGUACUUGAUUCCUGGCAGCAGCAACGUGAAGAGGUGCGUGUCCAGCAACUAGAGGUGAUGUCUCGUGCUUUGGAGAUGCCUGAUAAACAUUCCUUGACCUUCGUUAUAUGCAUGGAAAGGAUUGAAGGAGUGAGUUUAUUGGUAAAGAGCACCAUCAUGAAACUUGGCCUGAAGAAAUUGUUCCGUGGCAUCUUUGUCAAGGUCACCCCUCAGAGCGUAAGAAUGCUGCUCACGGUGGAGCCUUAUGUGACCUGGGGAUUUCCAAAUCUGAGGUCUGUCCGGGGACUCAUCUUGAAACGUGGACAAGCAAAGAUUAAGACAGUCCCUCUGACAGACAACACGGUGAUCGAGGAGCACCUGGGGAGAUUUGGUGUCGUUUUCCUGGAAGACCUCAUCCAUGAAAUUGCCUUCCCUGGCAAGCAUUUCUAGGAGGUCUCUUCAUUCUUGUGCCCUUUCCACCUCUCUGUGGCCUGCCAUGCUACCAAGAACAGAGUGGGCUUCCUCAAAGAGAUGGGUUCACCUGGUUACCGGGGAGAAUGGAUCAAUCAGCACAUUGGGCAGCUCAAC